AUUGAACGCUGCGGCAGGCUUAACACAUGCAAGUCGAGCGAGCGGCGGACGGGUGAGUAAUGCUUAGGAAUCUGCCUCUUAGUGGGGGACAACAUCUCGAAAGGGAUGCUAAUACCGCAUACUAAUAGAUGAGCCUAAGUCGGAUUAGCUAGUUGGUGGGGUAAAGGCCUACCAAGGCGACGAGCUGUAGCUGGGCUGGGAGGAGGAUCCGCCAAACUGGGACUUGAGCAAGGGCCAGACUUCUACGGGAGGGAGGAGUGGGGGAAAUUGGACAAUUGGGGGAAACCUGAACGAGCCAUGGCGGGGGUUUGAAGAAAGGCUUAUGGUUGUAAAGAACUUUACGCUAGGAGGCGUUACUCGCAGAAUAAGCACCGGCUAACUCCGUGCCAGCAGCCGCGGUAAUUC
rnacentral:rRNA from 1 species